rnacentral:hammerhead_ribozyme from 1 species
AUCAGUUGACGAGUUCCAAAUAGGACGAGACGCGCGUCCCGGAA